GACGAACGCUGGCGGCGUGCUUAACACAUGCAAGUCGAGCGGUAAGGCCCUUUCGGGGGUACGACGAGCGGCGAACGGGUAGAGUAACACGUGGGUGACCUGCCCUCAGCUCUGGGAUAAGCCUGGGAAACCGGGUCUAAUACUGGAUAUGACUCCAUGACGCAUGUUGUGGGGUGGAAAGCCUUGUGCGGCUGAGGAUGGGCCCGCGGCCUAUCAGCUUGUUGGUGGGGUGAUGGCCUACCAAGGCGACGACGGGUAGCCGGCCUGAGAGGGCGACCGGCCACACUGGGACUGAGACACGGCCCAGACUCCUACGGGAGGCAGCAGUGGGGAA
rnacentral:rRNA from 1 species